UGCAGGGAGUAGGAAUGCCCUUUCAGGAGCUGUAGGGUCAGAGAGAACUGGGGGAAAGGGUUCUCUACAGUAGCCAGACAGAAAGACUUGAGUGGAGUUGUGCAAUGAGGGGCAGAAGCCUUAAGAAGCUUGAGGAAACUUCAGGGAGCAAGAUCUGUGUUUUGGGAAAGAACUGUUGAGCUCAGCAAAGGACUGAAUUAAUGGCAUUUGGGGUAAUAGAAAAGGUUUAUGAAAGCUGUUUUCUGGAGGCUUAUGGUCUGCAUCAUCAUCACUGAUCACAUCUCCACCAUGCAGAUGUCUUCAGAAGAUGGACACUUCUUGCUGGCCCCAGAAUGCCUGCUAGCACAAUAGCAGCAGCAGACAGUCUGCAUGUUGUGCUCUCUCUGUAUUGUUGUAGUUGUUUAUAAUUCUUGGCCUUUCUUUCUUGUUCAGUUGAGUUUUUUCCCUAUAAAGUUUACCUCAGUAUGGCCUGUAUUUAAUUCUGUCAGCUGCAUCUGUGCAAUUUCACUAUUCUGUACAUAGCUCAUAACAUAUCUAGUUUAAGAUCUUUUAACAUCUUAGCUCUGGUACCUGUAUCUGUGACGCCCAGGCUAUAGAAGCUUAUUUAUGCAAAGUCCCAAAUUCUCAUGUGGCUGUGCCCUGUCUCAGUUUCAUGACCUAUUGAACUGAGACCUAAGUGUCCUGUCUUCUGUAUUAAAUCUUUAAAUAUAACAGUCCUGAGUGGCUGAAAAUGCUUCUACAGAGCUUCAGGGGGCUAUCAUCCUGCUUUUCUGCAUCAGUCAGUGUGAGAUGCUGGGAACUCAGGCAGCAGUCUUUUUCUCUCACUCAAUGAAAAGAAGCUAUCCUUAUUUCAGGGUCUUUCUUUUCUAGUUCAGCUGCAAUUUUUUUGUAAUCUUCCGACUUAAAAAAACUAUCAAGUUAACAGCAA